rnacentral:rRNA from 1 species
CCUACGGGAUGCAGCAGUAGGGAAUAUUGCUCAAUGGGGGAAACCCUGAAGCAGCAACGCCGCGUGGAGGAUGAAGGUUUUAGGAUUGUAAACUCCUUUUGUGAGAGAAGAUAAUGACGGUAUCUCACGAAUAAACACCGGCUAACUCCGUGCCAGCAGCAGCGGUAAUACGGAGGGUGCAAGCGUUACUCGGAAUCACUGGGCGUAAAGAGUGCGCAGGCGGGCUUGUAAGUCAGAUGUGAAAUCCUGUAGCUUAACUACAGAACUGCAUUUGAAACUAUGAGUCUAGAGUGUGGGAGAGGUAGGUGGAAUUCUUGGUGUAGGGGUAAAAUGCGUAGAUAUCAAGAGGAAUACUCAUUGCGAAGGCGACCUACUGGAACAUUACUGACGCUCAUGCACGAAAGCGUGGGGAGCAAACAGGAUUAGAUACCCGAGUAGUC